AGCGAACGCUGGCGGCAGACCUAACACAUGCAAGUCGAACGGAUCCUUCGGGAUUAGUGGCGGACGGGUGAGUAACACGUGGGAACGUGCCCUUUGGUUCGGAACAACUCAGGGAAACUUGAGCUAAUACCGGAUGUGCCCUUCGGGGGAAAGAUUUAUCGCCAUUGGAGCGGCCCGCGUAGGAUUAGCUAGUUGGUGGGGUAAAGGCCCACCAAGGCUACGAUCCUUAGCUGGUCUGAGAGGAUGAUCAGCCACACUGGGACUGAGACACGGCCCAGACCCCUACGGGAGGCAGCAGUGGGGAAUCUUGCGCAAUGGGCGAAAGCCUGACGCAGCCAUGCCGCGUGAAUGAUGAAGGUCUUAGGAUUGUAAAAUUCUUUCACCGGGGACGAUGAUGACGGUACCCGGAGAAGAAGCCCCGGCUAACUUCGUGCCAGCCGCCGCAGUAAAAC
rnacentral:rRNA from 1 species